rnacentral:rRNA from 1 species
UACGUAGGGUGCGAGCGUUGUCCGGAAUUAUUGAGCGUAAAGGGCUCGUAGGCGGUUUGUCGCGUCGGGAGUGAAAAUCCAGGGCUUAACUCUGGACUGGCUUCCGAUACGGGCAGACUAGAGGUAUGCAGGGGAGAACGGAAUUCCUGGUGUAGCAGUGAAAUGCGCAGAUAUCAGGAGGAACACCGGUGGCGAAGGCGGUUCUCUGGGCAUUACCUGACGCUGAGGAGCGAAAGUGUGGGGAGCGAACAGG